UAUUGAGUAUUGAAAUUAUCGUUCAUCAUAUGACUAUUUUGUUGUGCCCUUCAGAUCAAUGCUCAGGUUGGUUGAGCCACAUUCGGACUUGAACAUUCAUUUGUUGGAUGCACUUGGGGUAGUCAUAUUAAUGGUUGGACCUAAUCAGGAUUUUCAGUGGAGGCACCAUACGCCUGUUGAAGAGAAGCCUGGGGCAAAACUUAAUUGUUAGAAGUUGUUUGAAGAAAUAAUUGGUUAGGAACCCAUCUAUGGAUGCACUA
rnacentral:lncRNA from 1 species